CCUACGGGUGGCAGCAGUGAGGACUAUUGCUCAAUGGACGCAAGUCUGAACCAGCCAUGCCGCGUGCAGGAAGACGGCUCUAUGAGUUGUAAACUGCUGUUGUACGAGGGUAAACGCAGAUACGCGUAUCUGUCUGAAAGUAUAGUACGAAUUAGGAUCGGGUAACUCCGUGCAAGCAGCCGCGGUAAGCCGGAGGAUUCAAGCGUUAUCCGGAUUUAUGGGGCUUAAAGGGUGCGUAGGGGGUCGGAUAAGUUAGAGGUGAAAGCCCGAGGCUCAACUUCGGAAUUGCCUCGGAUACUGUUCGGCUAGGUAGUAGUAGCGGUAGGCGGAAUGUAUGGUGUAGCGGUGAAAUGCUUAGAUAUCAUACAGAACACCGAUUGCGAAGGCAGCUUACCAAGCUACUUCUGACGUUGAGGCACGAAAGCGUGGGGAGCAAACAGGAUUAGAUACCCCUGUAGUC
rnacentral:rRNA from 1 species